rnacentral:rRNA from 1 species
UGGGGAAUAUUGGACAAUGGGCGCAAGCCUGAUCCAGCCAUGCCGCGUGUGUGAAGAAGGCCUUCGGGUUGUAAAGCACUUUUGUCCGGAAAGAAAUCCUGUCGGUUAAUACCCGGCGGGGAUGACGGUACCGGAAGAAUAAGCACCGGCUAACUUCGUGCCAGCAGCCGCGGUAAUACGAAGGGUGCAAGCGUUACUCGGAAUUACUGGGCGUAAAGCGUGCGUAGGUGGUCUGUUAAGUCUGAUGUGAAAGCCCUGGGCUCAACCUGGGAACUGCAUUGGAUACUGGCAGUCUGGAGUGCGGUAGAGGGUAGCGGAAUUCCCGGUGUAGCAGUGAAAUGCGUAGAUAUCGGGAGGAACAUCCGUGGCGAAGGCGGCUACCUGGACCAGCACUGACACUGAGGCACGAAAAGCGUGGGGGAGCAAAACAGGAUUAGAUACCCUGGUAGUCCAUGCCCUAAACGAUGCGAACUGGAUGUUGGGAGCAACUAGGCUCUCAGUAUCGAAGCUAACGCGUUAAGUUCGCCGCCUGGGAAGUACGGUCGCAAGACUGAAACUCAAAGGAAUUGAC